rnacentral:rRNA from 1 species
GUGCCAGCCGCCGCGGUAAUACGGAGGGAGCAAGCGUUACUCGGAAUUAUUGGGCGUAAAGGGCGCGUAGGCGAUCUGAAAAGUUCUGUGUGAAAGCCCACAUGUUAACUGUGGAAGUGCACAGAAAACUGUUGGAUUUGAGUUCAGGAGAGGAAGGCAGAAUUCCCGGUGUAGCGGUGAAAUGCGUAGAGAUCGGGAGGAAUACCAGUGGCGAAGGCGGCCUUCUGGACUGACACUGACGCUGAGGCGCGAAAGCCAGGGGAGCAAACGGGAUUAGAAACCCUCGUAGUCC